AUUCCAAUCGAACUCGGAGAUAGCUGGUUCUCCCCGAAAUAGCUUUAGGGCUAGCCUCAUAUUAGAUACCCGGAGGUAAAGCACUGAAUGGCCUAGCGCCCGAGAGGGUAGCGAAGCCUAUCAAACUAAGAAUGCCGGAGUAUUGAUGUAUGGGAGUCAGACAGUGUGAGAUAAAUCUCAUUGUCAAAAGGGAAACAGCCCAGAUCUACAGCUAAGGUCCCAAAUUGUAUCUAAGUGGAAAACGAUGUGGAAAUACGCAGACAACCAGGAUGUUGGCUCAGAAGCAGCCACUCAUUUAAAGAGUGCGUAAUAGCUCACUGGUCGAGCGUCUCUGCGCGGAAAAUUUAACGGGGCUAAGAUACAAACCGAAGCUUAGGCUGCAUCGUAAGAUGCGGGGUAGGGGAGCGUUGUGUAAGCGGAGAAACAGUAGCGUAAGCGGCUGUGGAGUUUACAGAAGUGAGAAUGCCGGAAUGAGUAGCGCGAAUGUGGUGAGAAUCCACAUGGCCGGAAACCUCAGGUUUUUGGAGGAAGGUUCGUCCGCUCCAAGUUAGGCGGGAGCUAAGGUCAGGCCGAAAGGCGUAGCCGAUGCACAGACGGUAGAGAUUCCGUCCCCACCGAAAGAUUUAAGCACAGGGACACUUUUUGAAGGUCGGAGCCAGGUGUUGGUUCUGGUAGUGAUCGAGGGAAAUAUAGUACCGAAGUCCGGCUGGAAGAGAGGCGAGAAAAGCUGUGUGUAUAUCUAAGGUGCCCGUACCGCAAACCGACACAGGUAGGUAGGAAGAAGAUUCUAAGGCCAACGGGAGAAGGGUUGUUAAGGAACUCGGCAAAUUGACCCCGUAACUUCGGGAGAAGGGGUGCUCCAGAGAUGGAGCCGCAGAGAAUCGGCCCAAGCAACUGUUUACCAAAAACACAGGUUUGUGCUAAAUCGAAAGAUGACGUAUACGAGCUGACGCCUGCCCGGUGCUGGAAGGUUAAAAGGAGAUGUGCAAGCAUUGAAUUGAAGCCCCAGUGAACGGCGGCCGUAACUAUAACGGUCCUAAGGUAGCGAAAUUCCUUGUCAGGUAAGUUCUGACCCGCAUGAAAGGCGUAAUGAUUUGGGCACUGUCUCAACAGCCCGCCCGGCGAAAUUGUAGUACCGGUGAAGAUGCCGGUUACCCGCGACAAGACGGAAAGACCCCAUGGAGCUUUACUGUAGCCUAAUAUUGGGUUUCGAUGUUGCAUGCACAGGAUAGAUGGGACACAGGGAAGCAGGUGCUUUGGCGCUUGUGGAGUGGCCGUUGGGAUACCAUCCUUGCGAUAUUGGAAUUCUAACCUGCGCCUUUGAAUCAAGGCGGGGGACAUUGUUAGGUGGGCAGUUUGACUGGGGCGGUCGCCUCCUAAAGAGUAACGGAGGCGUUCAAAGGUUCGCUCAGCUUGAACGGAAAUCAAGCAAAAGAG
rnacentral:rRNA from 1 species